AUUAGGGCCAGGUAGUCAAAAAGAAGAAAAUAUAGUGGGACUUCCGAUAGAGAUUCAAUGCCUAGAGGGGAGGUGUGGUUGCGAGAUCUCAGCCGCAGGUAAUUCCAGUAUCUCUACUCCUAAUGGAAGAGUCCGUACGUCGUUCGUUCGUUCGCUCGCACGCAACCCCUCGCAUCGAUCGACAUCCCCCACCGAUUUUUUUUCCAAAUAAAUCGUUUGACUCCACCUGUCUUCCGCAUGGAAAAAAAGAGAGAAAAUCACCUAUGAUUUUGGUUUCCUUUCACAGUCUCCAUCCUCUCCCGAACCACCUCCACCCAGAUCUCCACACCCCCCUGAUCCUCUCCUAAACCACUCCGGCGAGCCCUCACAUGGCCACCUCGACGUCGUGAGAUUCGGGGGCGGCGGAAUCGAUAGGUUAUCAUACAGUGCAUGUCGUUGUGUGACCGUGUGGUGACGGCCGGCUGAAGCAUCGAGAUGGAGGACACGACCGCCGCCGUGC
rnacentral:rRNA from 1 species